UUUAUUGUGCAGCACUCACAGCCCCAGAAGUGAAACGCUGCUUUUUUUUUUGGAGGGGGGGAGAAGAGGGAGUGGACUGUUUUCCUUUCCCUCUGCUCCUCUCUCUCGGUGCCCCACGGAACCGCUCCCCGUCUUGCCAGAGCUGGGUCCAAACCAGAGCAACCAGAUCCCACUGCGUGUUCUGGAGGAAGUUCAGGUUGGAUCCCUCCCUGCAUCCUCACAGCUCGCUGAGGCAGUGUCUGUGGACUAUAAUCCUCUCGGAGGUUUUGCUCUGGGAUCAUUUCUGCUCCUGGAUUAGCAUUAAUGAAGAGCAUGUGUGCUCCAGAGGUCCUGAUCCAGGCCCCGAGAGCUGCAGCGCUGCUAAAGGCACCGUUUUCUGCCUGGGUGUUAUCCGUGGCUAUUCCAAGGAACACUUAGGCUGAAAGAGAAGAUUCCUUUGGAGUGAACGAGACAGGAACUUUUGCAAAGUCUAAUUUCAGUCUUUCUCCCCUCACCCACUAAAGACGAGGGUUUCAGAACAUCCCAGCACCUUGCUAGCACCAGUGUGAGUGCCUUUGUGAGUCAAGGGGUUUGCUUUAGUGCCCACCAAAGAGCUGAGCUCUGCUGGAGCUUGGGAACGAAGCCCUUGCAGAUCUCAGAGGUGCAGGGUGUCAGCCAUGGGAAGCUGGACCAGCAUUUGAUUUGGUGCCAUUGAAGCAGGUCUGAUGUCUUCAGGUCUCCCUCUGCGCUGGGCUCAGUUACUGUUAACCUCAAAAAGAAGUUUGGGGAAGGGAUGUUGGGGUUGCGUUGGCAAGGAAAUGUUCUCCGCAGGUUGCCCGUCCCAGCAGAGCGGCUGCCUGGGCAAGCUCCUCCCUUCCUGGGAGCUUUGGAGCCUCCUUUCUCAACAGCCUCAAGACUUGGGACGUGAUCUGUGCGAGUUGUGCUGAGCUGGUAGGGCAGAGCUGGGAAGCUGCCAACUGGGACACUGUGUUCCUCUCCAAACUGGUGAAAUUUCUGGCCCUGAGCUGGUGCAGCAAAUAAACUGUGAUCCCACGGUACAGAGGGACAGUUAGAAGGAACCUGUCGUGGGCUAUUCCUCCCUGAGACCUUGUGUCCUCUCCACCUGCCAGUACUUACUGCUCCUUCUUUGUCUUUGUGCAUAAAUGUGAACUUCCAGUGGAUGUUUGUUCUGUAAAAGGCCACGCAGAACGGCAAGAGUCUCUGUGGACGGCUCCAAAAGCCAACGUCACAGUGCAGAGACCACCCCUUUAGCCAGUUCUGGCCUGAAUUAGCAACUUGAGGUGUAAAAUGCAGCAAGGGCUGGAGCAAAGAUUCUUCAGUCACCGUUUUUUCCUGGUCAGGGCCAGUUCAGCUCCUCUCUUUGGGCGGUUCUAAUUUUUGCUAAUGCUCAGAAGGGCCAGGAACAGCAACAAUUUCUAUUUUCUCUUCCAAGCCAGGUCCCAACGCUGCGGACUGGAAGCCUGCAGCUGGGAGCAGAGUGUUUGCCACAGCCCCCCGGUCCCGAGGCACCCCUGGACAUGGCAGGGCAGCCCCUGCCCAGCAGCUGAGACGCACACGGCGGCUGUGACACGAGGGAAGACACGCGUCCCGCAGUUCCCAACACAACCGCGAGCGAUAUCCUGAACAGCGCGUUCUAACUUCAGGUGAAGAAAAGCAACAGCAGCAGAUGGUCUUGUAAACAGCAGAGAUCUGGCUCUCCCACAGAGGUCCUUGCGGAGUGGAAAGGAGCAGAAUGGGAGACUCCUGCAGAUCCCAUGGAGCACAAGAGUCAUGGAAAAAAAGAGACCUAUGAAAGACGGUUCCAGGUUGGGACUUUAGAGAGGUUUGUGCUUGAUCUAGGGUUGACAAGUUUCAGUUUCUAUUUUGCUUGGGGACUGGGAGGGGAGAGCUUACUGAGUCCUGGAGUCUUAAUGGAAAAUGAUCAGAAUCUGGAACAGAUUCCCAAAAAGACAUUUAGGGACAACUAAAUGCACAAAGCAGCUUGAGUAUACCUACCACCAGAGCUUUACCCAGUCCUGGGUAAAGCUUCUGAAAUGGGCAGUGUUUUAAUAAAGUACAUAUGUCUGGGGACUCAAAAUAUGAGAAAGAAAUUAGGGGGAAAAAAAGAUAACACCUUCUCUAUUUCUUAGAAAGGGGGAAAACUGCCAAAAAGUUACUAUUUUUUUUUCCUGGAGAAUGGCUCGGCUGGACAGGAUCCACUGCAGGGUCAGACCAUCCCCACAACCUGACACUUGCAGAACAAGUGGGCUCACUUCAUCUUGGCACAGGUAGUUCUGGCAUUUCCAGGGAGAUCUGUAAUUCCAAGUAAUAACCUCGGAGGUUAAUUGAAGUCUGAAAAUAAGUUUCUUUGGUAGGUGGGCUGGAGGGGAUUUUAAUUAUGUGUUUAGUGUUGCUUUAAGCGUUAAUUUUGCCUGGGAAAGGAAGCUGUAGUAUCAGGAACGACACCUUCAGACAGCUGAGAUCUUCAGACAGAAAAUCAGGGGGGCUGGCGAAUGCCCGUAGCCUGUUAUGGCAGAUGGAAAUGAGCUCUGAAUUAAAAGAAACUCUUUUGUUUGUUUUGGGCCAAAAACAACUGGACUCUGCGUAAGGCCCGACUCCCUGAGAAUGGGUGCUCAGCAGCUCUCUGACAGUUGGGCUGUCAGAAGGAAGGUACCUGAACUGCAGACUAUACACAUCUGAAUUUGUUUUUUGCCUUAUUUCUCUUUGUGUGUCAUAGUCUCCUUGCAGUUUUCCAGAGCAGAGUUACUCUUCCACUUGUUCCCCUUUGCCUCCUGCUGAGCCAUUUCCUUUAUUUUCCACCGUUCUGUGUAGUGUAGUCACUCCCAGGAUCUGGGAAAUCUUCCUUGGAAGUCUCCUUCUCUCCUGAGCUUACUGCCAACUCUCCCUCUGAAGCUUUUCAUUCUUUUCAUUCUUCAUCACAAAGAAGAAUAAAAGGCCCGGAACGUGCGCUGUGACACCCGUUCAGGUGCCAUUACCCUGUGAUUCUUUAAAAACUCAACAUGCCUUUAUGGUGGCUGAGACGUGCUGGAGUGGGAAGCCUCAAUUGGUGUUAGCACGUGGAGGAGAAGCAAGUGCUGUGGCCUGGACUGGGGCAGCGGGUUCUGGCUUUGGUUUGGACACUGACUCACUCGGGGAAAAUCAUUUCCCUUCUCUGUGCACCUGUUUCCACUCCCCACCUCUAAUUGCCUCUCUGGUUAGACUGGGAGCUCCUUGGGACGCGGCCCGACUCUGGCUGGGUGUAGGUCUGGCACCUCGGCACAGGGGAGCCCUGUCUGGGCUGGGCCUCAGGUGUCCUGGUGGUACAGCUGAGGGCAGAAGGUGUGCCCAGGCAGCAGGGCACGCUUCCCAGACACGCUCUGAAACCCCAUGUGCUGGAAGCUGUCUCCCUUCCCAGUCCUCCGCUCCUCUCAGCCAGCCAGCAAAGCAUUAACCAGUUCCAGUUACAAUGGUGAGGUGAACUGGCACGUUCCCAGUUCCACUGGGAAGCGGUGGGGAAUCACUAAACUUGUUUUGCAAACUCAAGCGGUGCCUGAUGGGAAGCUGCAUUCCCGCCGAGCUGCCCCACCUCCCCACAGGUAAAAAGCUCCUUCCCUCAGCCCCACAGCUCAGAGCCAUCCCAUCCCACCCCCAGCCCGCCCCACACAGCCUUCAGCCUGCUCCAAUUUGCCAUUUUCUCCUUCCCUCCCUUGUCUGAAGAGGUGCCUACGGGUGUCUCUGGCGUUUCUUCUUCUCCGCCGGCUCCUGCGUAGCCCCUUCCUCCCCUUGUUUGCUCAUUCCCUGCACUCCAUCCCAUCUUUUGCCUUCCUCCCUGGUUUGAUACAGCAUCUCGCCAGUCCUGCUUCACACUAAGAGAAGGGGUAUUAGAUGGAUUCCCCAUAGAGUAUAAAUUGAAUGGAGAGAAGUGGCUGGUUUCCCAGCAAUAAUUUAUCUGAUUAAAAAAAUACUCCCCAAACUCCCCCUCCUCUGCUGGUCCUACCCCCCCCUCCAAAAAGAACAUUGGCACUCUGGGCUAGUGUUUGAACUGUGCUAUUCAAAUUGCUGGAAGGGGGAUUUAGAUGGGAAAAUAACUGUCAAAAGAUGGCUCUCUGGGGAAAAAAGCAUGAGCUCUGAAAUUUGGAACAUGGGUUGGUGCAUGGAGGAGGCAGAGAGAGUAAAUAAUUCUGAGUCAAGUCCCUCUGUGAUUUCUGGCUUUGCCCUCAUCUAACCAAUCUCUUACAGAGAUAGGCACAGAUGCACACGUACACGCUCACACACGUGUGCCCCCGCACACACGUUCCGUAGGAGCAGCCAUUAGCAGUAACUCCAAAGCACAGCAAGCUGCUCCUGCUGCUCCCUUCCCUCCCUCUUUAUUUUCACCUCACUUCAGGGCUGAUUCCAAAGGAAAGAAAAAUAUGCUUCAUAAAGUGCUUGUUCCCUUGUUUGUUACCUGUGCAGCUUUUACUCCUUUCAAAUCAGCACCAUCCAAGGCUGGUAAUUCUCUCCUCCUGCCGAAGCCAACGUUCAUUUACUCACACAGACUGUUGUAUUUGGGGACCAGAAGAGUCACCCCGACACCCCUCUUCGUUGCGGCGCAGCGGUGCAGGUGACCUGAACUAUGUAUUUCUGGCCCAUCUGUAUUUCCCUGUCUUGCCUUUUUCUUUGUGGGAGAGAGGCAGGUAUUUUACAUUUCCCACCGCUCCCCUGGCGCGCCGUGAUUUAUAACAGGAGCUGCCUUAUUAAUGUCAAGGGCAGAAUUGCUACCGAGGCUGGAGCGUACGACAAUCAUGGAGCGCGCGGCGGCGCGGGCCCGGCUCCGAGGGCUGUUGGCUGCUGUACGUCCCUCAUCCCUCACAGCCUCCACCAGCUCUGCCUGCCCCUCUCUGGGCCAGUGGGUGAAACCCGAAGAGGCCCGUUCCGAGCCGCAGCGUUUCAGCCUCCCAGCAACCCGAAAGCCAGUCGCCGGGGCUCAGGUUUCCUUGCUUUUUUUGACAGGAGUCCUGUUCAGAUGAAACCUCUCUCCGCUCCUCCUGGAGGAUUUACACUGCCACAAGUCUUCAUUUUUUCCAGAUGUUUUACCUAAUAAAUCAAGGAGUCUCAUCAGAGGAUUCGAAUCCAAAAGCUGUUACCAUGACUUCAAAGGCGCAGGCUGGAAUGGAAAGAAGCAGUGCAGACAUUUUAUACCACUCUGUAGUCACCGAUCAUGAAAAUACACUCUGGUUCCAGCAUUUUAUUAUUUUUUUUUCCUGUGGAUACCAAAACUCCACCGUGAUGAAAUAAAACGAUGCCGUGCUCCUUCAGCCAACCUUUGUUUAGAAGAAGGGAGCCGCCGCGCUGGCAGGCUGUGGGGCUGGCAGUGACCGAGGAUGGGGCUGGUCCUGGGAGGAGGGGAGCUCUGCCAGCCCCCGGCCAACAUCGGGCACCAUUAACUUGGGUUUGGACUCGGGUUUGGACUCUCUCCGUCCUUACACAUCGACAGGCGGCCGCAAAUUCCCUCUCAGCGAUAGAUCCCACUUAAAGGAGUCAGGCGUUCAUGUUCUUUGGAUGGUCGGGGGAGAAAAAGAUCAAAAGAGUCAAAUGGCUGCAAAAUGGGGUUGCGUUUAUUUGUACUGGUUUGUUCCUUGAUCGAAAAUGCAACUUUUUUUUUAAAUAUAGUGAACCCUUUCUUUCUACAGUGUCUAAAUGGUGUCAUUUUCCUUCACUGCUACAUUUCUAAAGAUAAAUGCUCCAGCCUUUUGCAAAACUGUCAUGUAUAUGUUUCUAAUUACUCAACAGCACAGUCU